GCCGGCAGCGCAACUCUCACAUGGUCGCCCACUGAAGCUAAGCAGGGCUGUGCCCGGUCAGUACCUGGAUGGGAGAUCACAUGGGAAAGCUAGGUUACUGCCGGAA
rnacentral:rRNA from 1 species